CUGCCAUGGACCCUCGCUCUAAGCAUACGCUAGAGGAAGAGGAUGCUGAGGAACCGGAUCAAUGAGAAAAUCCUUGCUGCACAUGAUCCUGCAGAAACAGAACAGCUGACAGCCUGGUGUCUUCGGCAAGGAGGGACGCAAGCAGACUGACGAGCCAAGAGGGGAGGAGAGCGAGGAAUCGGAGGAUGAGACUGUUUCACUUCAAACGAGGAAGAAGAUGAAGCUAACGCCCCUGGAGAAGCUUUUCGCUGAGGAUGAUAUCCUGAAAUGGAAGCAGUUUGACGAGGAGGAAGUGCAUCUCAUUGACAACAGUAACUUUGAACGCAUGAAAACUACGCUACAGCGCGAGUCGGGAUGCAGCGGCAUCAGAAGAGAAGUGAAAUACGUGCAAGGCCGCGCUGAUCUCCGCAAUCUGAAGCCUACAAUG